rnacentral:rRNA from 1 species
GAUCUGGCUCAGGAUGAACGCUAGCGGCAGGCUUAACACAUGCAAGUCGAGGGGCAGCAUAAUGGAUAGCAAUAUCUAUGGUGGCGACCGGCGCACGGGUGCGUAACGCGUAUGCAACCUACCUUUAACAGGGGGAUAACACUGAGAAAUUGGUACUAAUACCCCAUAAUAUCAUAGAAGGCAUCUUUUAUGGUUGAAAAAUUCCGAUGGUUAGAGAUAGGCAUGCGUUGUAUUAG